rnacentral:lncRNA from 1 species
GCACAAUUUUAUAUUUUUACUCUGAAAGCUGGUUUGCAAGGAGGUGCAUAAAUAUUAUUUAUCAAAUUACUAGCAUUUUUUGCAAUGCAACUUAUGUUUUUAUAAUGACACCAGAUUAAGAAGAGUGAAAGAAUUGAGCUGCAAAUCUAAGCUUUGCACUCCCAAUCUUAUGUUGGAAUAAUAAAUUCAGUUCAGCCAUAACUUACUGAAUAUGUCUAAUAUUUCUGAAAAUGUCUGAGAUAUUACUGGAUAGGUCAUAGAAGAAAUAUGGAGAAAUGGAAACUAGAAUGAUUAGCACUGCUCCAUCACUCAUGGGAAGACCCUGACCUUUCUCUUCAGUGAACAUGGAUGAAGUUCAGGCAGCAUCAGCAUGCACAAUGAGUGAAGCAGAGAUUCCCUGAAUUCAGUAGAAUUUUAUCUUAGACAAAUGUCUACACUUAUUUUGUGUUUUGUAUACUAUCUUUGCUGGGGUUGUUCCUCUACCCAUGCCAAGCACAUCUUAUUUCCUCAUUAUUUUACAAAAGAUUCAAACUGCAAGAUGAUAAAUAAUGGCCACUAGAAAGAA